rnacentral:tRNA from 1 species
GCGCGAGUGGCGGAAUGGUAGACGCGCUAGCUUCAGGUGCUAGUGUCUGUAAAGAUGUGGAAGUUCGAGUCUUCUCUCGCGUACCA